UAUCGACAGGUUUAAGAAUCGUGAUAGUUUUCGUUGUAUCAAUUUUCAUGCGAUAAAUAUUAUAUAUUUUUCUAAUAAAAAAAAUUUAUUAACGGUGCUAAUAAACAAUAUUUGCAACGCGAUAGACAAUUGUUAUUAAUUAAGAAAAUAUACGUCGAGAGAUAUUUGAAGGAAAUUUUCUUAAAGAUUUGGAAAGUGUACGAUCGAGUGAAGAAGUAGGAGCGAUCGGUUGGAAAGACAACGAAUACAUUUUAUGAUGAUUGCGAAAGAAAACAACAAAAAAUAAACGAACGAACGAGCGAACGAACGAAAUCAUUAUCCUGAUUAAUGCUAGAUCGACGAGAAACAUAGUAAUUCAAUCAUAUAAAAAGAAAAA
rnacentral:lncRNA from 1 species